AGCUGCGCGGUAAACACAUAGCGAACUAUUCUUUCGCCUUUUACUAAAGAAUACCGUGUGUUUGCCGCACUACAAGCAGCAUACGCCACUUUUUGGAGGGUUUUUUCCAUUUUUGGAAAU
rnacentral:snRNA from 1 species